GAGCCACGCCCUCAACCAAAACGCCACUCUAUAGCCACAAAUAAUGCUCAGAACAGCACCUAACUUCAUCAACAGGACAUAUAGGGUCACAGACAUAGUACUAGACACCAAACAUCUUUUUAACUUUGACUCAUUUCUUUAACAAAGAGACUAAACACAACUCACCUACUCUCUUCCAGCAGACGCUUGUUUGUAGCGAGACCUCAGGCCAGUCCAUUACAGACUACAGCGGGGUGCCGCAGCUCAAGGAAGAACAUUUAUGAUCAUUUUUUCAUGGAAAUACAAUCAGACCGAGACGCUAAGACAGAAGAACUACUGAGUCUGUAAAAUGAUUAAUAUGGUGAUUAUUACUUCAAGGAAAUGAUAAAGAAAUGAUCAUAAAUGUUCUUCCUUGAGCUGCGGCACCCCGCUGUAGUCCGUGUCUGUGACCCUAUAUGUCCUGUUGAUGAAGUUAGGUGCUGUUCUGAGCAUUAUUUGUGGCUAUAGAGUGGCGUUUUGGUUGAGGGCGUGGCUCUCUGUAUUUCUAUCCUGCGGUCGUUACUAAAGUUGGUAUAACUAGAGAAGGAAGCGGUCGACAACAUUCAUCUCUGGAGGGGGGUCUAACUCGGUGUUACGGUGGGUUUGACCCU